AACGAACGCUGGCGGCAUGCCUAACACAUGCAAGUCGAACGAUAUCUUCGGGUCUAGUGGCGCACGGGUUCGUAACGCGUGGGAAUCUGCCCUUUGAUUCUGAAUAACAGUUGGAAACGACGGCUAAUACCGGAUGAUAACAAAAGACCAAAGAUUUGUCGCCAGAGGAUGAGCCCGAGUAGGAUUAGCUAGUUGGUGUGGUAAAGGCGCACCAAGGCGACGAUCCGUAGCUGGUCUGAGAGGAUGAUCAGCCACACUGGGAAUGAGACACGGCCCAGACUCCUACGGGAGGCAGCAGUGGGGAAUAUUGGACAAUGGGCGAAAGCCUGAUCCAGCAAUGCCGCGUGAGUGAUGAAGGCCUUAGGGUUGUAAAGCUCUUUUACCCGGGAUGAUAAUGACAGUACCGGGAGAAUAAGCUCCGGCUAACUCCGUGCCAGCCGCCGCAGUAA
rnacentral:rRNA from 1 species